rnacentral:rRNA from 1 species
UACGUAGGGUGCAAGCGUUGUCCGGAAUCAUUGGGCGUAAAGCGCGCGUAGGCGGCCCUGUAAGUCCGUUGUGAAAGUCAAAGGCUCAACCUUUGAAAGCCGAUGGAUACUGCAGGGCUAGAGUCCGGAAGAGGCGAGUGGAAUUCCUGGUGUAGCGGUGAAAUGCGCAGAUAUCAGGAGGAACACCGGUGGCGAAGGCGGAUCUCUGGGCCUUACCUGACGCUGAGGCGCGAAAGCUAGGGGAGCGAACAGG